rnacentral:rRNA from 1 species
GGCGGCGCGCUUAACACAUGCAAGUCGAGCGAGAACCGGACCUUCGGGUCCGGGGACAGCGGCGAACGGGUGAGUAACACGUGAGUAAUCCACCCUUGGUACCGGGAUAGCCCGAGGAAACUCGGAUUAAUACCGGAUAGCCCGACAGCCUUUCGGGGCGGUCGGAAAAGGUAGCUUCGGCCUCCGACCAAGGACGAGCUCGCGGCGGAUUAGCUUGUUGGCGGGGUAACGGCCCACCAAGGCGACGAUCCGUAGCUGGUCUGAGAGGACGAUCAGCCACACUGGGACUGAGACACGGCCCAGACUCCUACGGGAGGCAGCAGUGGGGAAUCUUGCGCAAUGGGCGAAAGCCUGACGCAGCGACGCCGCGUGAGGGAAGAAGGCCUUCGGGUUGUAAACCUCUUUCAGGAGGGACGAAGCCACUCGGGUUAAUAGCCCAGAGGGUGACGGUACCUCCAGAAGAAGCCCCGGCUAACUACGUGCCAGCAGCCGCGGUAAUACGUAGGGGGCAAGCGUUGUCCGGAUUUAUUGGGCGUAAAGAGCGUGUAGGCGGCUUUACAGGUCCGCUGUGAAAACUCGAGGCUCAACCUCGAA